rnacentral:rRNA from 1 species
UACGAAGGGAGCUAGCGUUGUUCGGAAUCACUGGGCGUAAAGCGCACGUAGGCGGGGUUGUCAGUCAGGGGUGAAAUCCCGGAGCUCAACUCCGGAACUGCCCUUGAUACAGCAAGCCUUGAGUCCGGAAGAGGUAGGUGGAAUUCCUAGUGUAGAGGUGAAAUUCGUAGAUAUUAGGAAGAACACCAGUGGCGAAGGCGGCCUACUGGUCCGGCACUGACGCUGAGGUGCGAAAGCGUGGGGAGCAAACAGG